rnacentral:rRNA from 1 species
UUAGAGUUUGAUCCUGGCUCAGGACGAACGCUGGCGGCGUGCCUAACACAUGCAAGUCAAGGGGCAGCAAUGGAGCAAUCUGUUGCUGCCACUGGCGCACGGGUGAGUAACGCGUAGGUAACCUGCCCUCAGCCCUGCAAUAACCCCGGGAAACUGGGGCUAAUGGCAGAUGAGGUCGGUGGGGGAAGUUCCCACCGAUCAAAGGGGCAACCCGGCUGAGGAUGGGCCUGCGUCCUAUCAGGUAGUUGGUGGGGUAACGGCCCACCAAGCCGACGACGGGUAGCUGGCCUGAGAGGGUGGUCAGCCACACCGGCACUGAGACACGGGCCGGACUCCUACGGGAGGCAGCAGUGGGGAAUCUUGCACAAUGGGUGAAGAGCCUGAUGCAGCGACGCCGCGUGCGGGAAGAAGGGGCGUAUGCCCUGUAAACCGCUGUCGGGGGGGAGGAA